CCUACGGGGGGCUGCAGUGGGGAAUAUUGGACAAUGGGGGCAACCCUGAUCCAGCCAUGCCGCGUGUGUGAAGAAGGCCCUCGGGUUGUAAAGCACUUUCAGUGAGGAAGAACGCCUGGUGGUUAAUACCCAUCAGGAAAGACAUCACUCACAGAAGAAGCACCGGCUAACUCCGUGCCAGCAGCCGCGGUAAUACGGAGGGUGCGAGCGUUAAUCGGAAUUACUGGGCGUAAAGCGCGCGUAGGUGGCUUGAUAAGCCGGUUGUGAAAGCCCCGGGCUCAACCUGGGAACGGCAUCCGGAACUGUCAAGCUAGAGUGCAGGAGAGGAAGGUAGAAUUCCCGGUGUAGCGGUGAAAUGCGUGGAGAUCGGGAGGAAUACCAGUGGCGAAGGCGGCCUUCUGGACUGACACUGACACUGAGGUGCGAAAGCGUGGGUAGCAAACAGGAUUAGAUACCCCUGUAGUC
rnacentral:rRNA from 1 species